rnacentral:snRNA from 1 species
AUGCUCCCUUCGGCAGCACGUAUAAUAAAAUCGGAAUGAUACAGAGAAGAUUAGCACGGCCCCUGUGCAAGGAUGACAAGCAAAUGAGUGAAGUGUUCCAUAUUUUC